GAAGAACGCUGGCGGCGUGCCUAAUACAUGCAAGUCGAGCGAACGGACGAGAAGCUUGCUUCUCUGAUGUUAGCGGCGGACGGGUGAGUAACACGUGGAUAACCUACCUAUAAGACUGGGAUAACUUCGGGAAACCGGAGCUAAUACCGGAUGAUAUUUUGAACCGCAUGGUUCAAAAGUGAAAGACGGUCUUGCUGUCACUUAUAGAUGGAUCCGCGCUGCAUUAGCUAGUUGGUAAGGUAACGGCUUACCAAGGCAACGAUGCAUAGCCGACCUGAGAGGGUGAUCGGCCACACUGGAACUGAGACACGGUCCAGACUCCUACGGGAGGCAGCAGUAGGGAAUCUUCCGCAAUGGGCGAAAGCCUGACGGAGCAACGCCGCGUGAGUGAUGAAGGUCUUCGGAUCGUAAAACUCUGUUAUUAGGGAAGAACAUAUGUGUAAGUAACUGUGCACAUCUUGACGGUACCUAAUCAGAAAGCCACGGCUAACUACGUG
rnacentral:rRNA from 1 species